GACGAACCGAGCGAACGUUGUUCGGAAUCACUGGGCUUAAAGGGCGCGUAGGCGGAUUCUCCAGUCCGGGGUGAAAUCCCACAGCUCAACUGUGGAACUGCCUCGGAUACUGGGGGUCUCGAGGGUGGCAGGGGUAUGCGGAACUAUCGGUGGAGCGGUGAAAUGCGUUGAUAUCGAUAGGAACUCCGGUGGCGAAGGCGGCAUACUGGUCCACUUCUGACGCUGAGGCGCGAAAGCCAGGGGAGCAAACGGG
rnacentral:rRNA from 1 species